AGAGCUUUAAGUUAUUUUAGACUGUGGUAUUUCAAGUACUAAAGAGGGUAGUUUCCCAUGUUCUG
rnacentral:tRNA from 1 species